GACGAACGCUGGCGGCGUGCUUAACACAUGCAAGUCGAACGAUGAACCCGGAGCUUGCUCCGGUGGAUUAGUGGCGAACGGGUGAGUAACACGUGAGUAACCUGCCCUUGACUCUGGGAUAACUGCGGGAAACUGUAGCUAAUACCGGAUACGACCCUCGGCGGCAUCGCCAGGGGGUGGAAAGAAUUUCGGUCAGGGAUGGACUCGCGGCCUAUCAGCUUGUUGGUGGGGUGAUGGCCUACCAAGGCGACGACGGGUAGCCGGCCUGAGAGGGUGACCGGCCACACUGGGACUGAGAUACGGCCCAGACUCCUACGGGAGGCAGCAGUGGGGAAUAUUGCACAAUGAGCGCAAGCCUGAUGCAGCGACGCCGCGUGAGGGAUGACGGCCUUCGGGUUGUAAACCUCUUUCAGCAUCGACGAAGCGAAAGUGACGGUAGGUGCAGAAGAAGCCCCGGCUAACUACGUGCCAGCCGCCGCGGUAA
rnacentral:rRNA from 1 species